AGAAGGUGUAGAGGAACAAAGUAUAUACUUCAGCUUUACAAUAAUUUCAGCUGAAAAACCACAUAGACCCCAAGCUGCCACUGAAUAAUAUUUGUGGGCCUGAAAAGCAUCCCAUGACAAAAUAAAAAAGAUAUAUUAAAGAUGAAAGGAAAAAACCUGGUCGCAUUGUGGCUGUUUAUUGCCAUUACAGGAGCUGCAGCCACAACAACAACUGAAGCCCCGACUACAACUGCAGCCCCCACUACAACGACAGACCCCACAACAACUUCAACCCCCAGUACAACUGCAGAUCCAACUACAACUGCAGCUCAAACGACAACUGCAGCCCCCACAACAACUGAAGUCCUGACUACAACUGCAGCCCCCACAACAACUGAAGCCCUGACUACAGCUGCAGCCCCCACAACAACUGAAGCCCUGACUACAACUGCAGCCCCCACAACAACUGAAGCCCUGACUACAACUGCAGUACCCACAACAACUGAAGCCCUGACUACAACUGCAGUACCCACAACAACUGCAGCCCCCACAACAACUGCAGCCCUGACUACAACUGAAGCCCUGACUACAACUGCAGCUCAAACAACAACUGAAGCCCUGACUACAACUGCAGUACCCACAACAACUGCAGCCCCCACAACAACUGAUGCCCCCAUUACAACUGCAGCCCCCACAACAACUGAAGCCCUGACUACAACUGCAGCCCCCACAACAACUGAAGCCCGGACUACAACUGCAGCCCCGACUACAACUGAAGCGCUGACUACAACUGCAGUACCCACAACAACUGCAGUACCCACAACAACUGAUGCCCCCACUACAACUGAAGCCCUGAUUACAACUGCAGCCCCCACAACAACUGAAGCCUUGACUACAACUGCAUUACCCACAACAA